rnacentral:sRNA from 1 species
AGAUUUGAGAACAUACAUACCUAGAAA